rnacentral:rRNA from 1 species
CCAAUAGCGUAUAUUAAAGUUGUUGCAGUUAAAAAGCUCGUAGUUGAAUUUCGGGAUCAAUGGGUUGGUCAUGCCCUCGGUAUGUACUGAUUUCAUUGGUUCUCACCUUCUAAGGAACCAUGAUGUCAUUCGUUUGAUGUUGUGGGGAAUUAGGACUGUUACCUUGAAAAAAUUAGAGUGUUUAAAGCAGGCUAACGCUUGAAUACAUUAGCAUGGAAUAAUGAAAUAGGACAUCCGAUUCUAUUUUGUUGGUUUCUAGGAUCGAUGUAAUGAUUAAUAGGGAUAGUUGGGGGCAUUAGUAUUCAAUUGUCGGAGGUGAAAUUCUUGGAUUUAUUGAAGACUAACUACUGCGAAAGCAUUUGCCAAGGAUGUUUUCAUUAAUCAAGAACGAAAGUUAGGGGAUCGAAGACGAUCAGAUACCGUCGUAGUCUUAACCAUAAACUAUGCCGACUAGGGAUCGGAUGAUGCUUAUUUUUUAAUGACUCAUUCGGCACCUUACG